CACAAUGGGCGAAAGCCUGAUGCAGCAACGCCGCGUGAAGGAUGAAGGCCUUCGGGUUGUAAACUUCUGUUCUAAGGGAAGAAAGAAAUGACGGUACCUUAGGAGCAACCCCGGCUAACUACGUGCCAGCAGCCGCGGUAAUACGUAGGGGGCAAGCGUUAUCCGGAAUUAUUGGGCGUAAAGAGUGCGUAGGUGGUUACCUAAGCGCAAGGUUUAAAUUAGAGGCUCAACCUCUACAUGCCUUGCGAACUGGGCUACUUGAGUGCAGGAGGGGAAAGCGGAAUUCCUAGUGUAGCGGUGAAAUGCGUAGAUAUUAGGAGGAACACCGGCGGCGAAGGCGGCUUUCUGGACUGUAACUGACACUGAGGCACGAAAGCGUGGGUAGCAAACAGGAUUAGAUACCCUGGUAGUCACGCCGUAAACGAUGAGCACUACGUGUCGGGUCCGUUAUGACUCAGUGCCGCAGUUAACGCAAUAAGUGCUCCGCCUGGGGAGUACGCUCGCAAGAGUGAAACUCAAACGGA
rnacentral:rRNA from 1 species